rfam:Gossypium hirsutum cultivar TM-1 chromosome 20, whole genome shotgun sequence
AAAUCAUGCAGUAGGCAUUUUCUAAUUAAUUCCUUAAAACACUCACAUGCUUCAUAUAAUGCCUCAUCUCUAGAUUGUCGAAACGAUGUAAUAUUAUUCCUCAGCUU